rnacentral:tRNA from 1 species
UUGUGUGUGCUCAAAGGUAUAGCAUUUGCCUUGCAUGUAUAUGGCCCUGGGUUUGAUUCCCAGCACAGAAA